rnacentral:lncRNA from 1 species
CCUUCCUUAAUCUUAAAUCAACCAAGAAACGUUCAUUGAUUGAUUCUUGUUGAUCAAACAGUCCUUGUGAUGCAAACAAGGCUAAAAACACUCAAGAUACUCAAAGAGCAUCAGAAUGUGACUUGGAGCAAAUUUCAAAUGAUGUAAAUACAAAUACAGUUUCAAACUUAGAAAGUUUUAGCGGACCAGUAAUAAGAUCAAAGGCAAAGAAGCUUAAAGAGUUGCUCCAAGUUUUUACUCAAAAACAUGUGGAUGAUGGACUGGCCAAUUGUGGAAAGUUCAAAUAUGAGCUUUUUGAACAGCCCAAAUUCGUAACUUUAAUUGGAUUUAAGUGAUUUGGGAUAAUUUGGGCAUGUUUGAGUCUUAUUGAUAAUUGAUGAAUAAGCCUUGUGUCCAUUGGAUUAGUUGAGUUAUUUUAAGUAUUUUGGAUUGUUUUAUUUUAGUUUGAGUUAAUUAAGCCCAUAUGAGUAUAACUCAUUUUGGGUUUAAGUUUUGUCUUAGUGUCAUUACAAGAAUGAGCUCAUAACUAUAUGGUGCCACAAACAAUUAGUGGUGUUGGUUAAGAAGAUUGGAGUUAUAAGGAGUUACAUAACAAUUACAUGCCUAUAAUUAGCUUAGUUAUUGUUGGAGUUACAAUUGUAAUUACCACAUAAUUAACCUAGUUAUUGUGGGAGUUACAAUUGUAGUUAUUGUAUUGUAACUUAUCAUUGAUUUCUUUGGUUAUAAAUACCAAAGGAACUCUUCUUUGUGGACAUCAAGAGUUGUAAUCAAGCAUUUCAUAAUUGAGUUAAGAGUGUUUUGGCUUUCUUUUUUACUUUAUGCACAAGGUGUUGAUUUGGAAUACAAUUGUUAUCACGUGUAUUUCAAUUUUGAUUUUCUAUUUUAAUUGUUCUUGGUGCUUGUUUGGAUUGGGUUCAAGGGAUAUCAUUUAUCUUUCUUGGGUUCUCUUUAACUUCUACCAUUUGAGUGAUUGAACAAAUUUGAUUCCUUUUUUACUUGUGAUCUAAAUUCCGUUCUAAACCGAUUGAAGAGUUCUAAGGUUCAAGCAAGGGUCUUGGGGUUCCGCAUCAUUUGGUAUCAGAGCAUUG